rnacentral:rRNA from 1 species
GCGUUGCUCGGAAUCACUGGGCGUAAAGGGCGCGUAGGCGGCCAUUCAAGUCCGAGGUGAAAGCCCAAGGCUCAACCUUGGAAUUGCCUUUGAUACUGUUUGGCUUGAGACCGGAAGAGGUUAGUGGAACUGCGAGUGUAGAGGUGAAAUUCGUAGAUAUUCGCAAGAACACCAGUGGCGAAGGCGGCUAACUGGUCCGGUUCUGACGCUGAGGCGCGAAAGCGUGGGGAGCAAACAGG